rnacentral:rRNA from 1 species
GAUGUUGGGUUAAGUCCCGCAACGAGCGCAACCCUUGUCUUUAGUUGCCAUCAUUAAGUUGGGCACUCUAGAGAGACUGCCAGGGAUAACCUGGAGGAAGGUGGGGAUGACGUCAAAUCAUCAUGCCCCUUAUGCUUAGGGCUACACACGUGCUACAAUGGGUAGUACAGAGGGUUGCCAAACCGUAAGGUGGAGCUAAUCCCUUAAAGCUACUCUCAGUUCGGAUUGUAGGCUGAAACUCGCCUACAUGAAGCUGGAGUUACUAGUAAUCGCAGAUCAGAAUGCUGCGGUGAAUGCGUUCCCGGGUCUUGUACACACCGCCCGUCACACCACGGGAGUUGGAGACGCCCGAAGCCGAUUAUCUAACCUUUUGGAAGAAGUCGUCGAAGGUGGAAUCAAUAACUGGGGUGAAGUCGUAACAAGGUAGCCGUAUCGGAAGGUGCGGCUGGAUCACCUCCUUU